rnacentral:ncRNA from 19 species
GUAUAUUUGCAAUGUAUUGGUUUGUUUAUCUUUAGUCAAAGAUAAAUGAUUAAAAGGGAAUCAGGUGAGAAUCCUGAACAGUCCCGCUGCUGUAUGUUUCACAAAACGCAUAAGCAAACUCCAUUAACCACUGGAAAGCAUUUCCGGGAAGGUGCUUAUAGCGGAAACAAGUCAGAAGACCUGCCUAUACACUUUCACAUCCU